rnacentral:rRNA from 1 species
UACGUAGGGCGCAAGCGUUGUCCGGAAUUAUUGGGCGUAAAGAGCUCGUAGGCUGUUUGUCGCGUCUGCUGUGAAAACUCGGGGCUUAACUCCGGGCCUGCAGUGGGUACGGGCAGACUAGAGUGCGGUAGGGGAGACUGGAAUUCCUGGUGUAGCGGUGAAAUGCGCAGAUAUCAGGAGGAACACCGGUGGCGAAGGCGGGUCUCUGGGCCGUAACUGACGCUGAGGAGCGAAAGCGUGGGGAGCGAACAGG